UACUGUCUCUAGGUACAACCUGAUCCCUC
rnacentral:piRNA from 1 species